GACAUCAGUUUGUUUUGUCCCUAACCGAGAUCGAAAAAGAAGUGAAGGCAGUGCUGAUGUCCAUUGCUCGCUGCUGGUUCAACUCGUGCUGAUGUUUUGCAGCAGUUGAAAGAGGUAUGUUUAUAUUUUCAAUCCACACUUUUUAAGUUUGCAAUCUGUGUUCUGUAAAAACUCUCUAAACUUUAUGACAACAAACCACGUUAUUGUUUUAUUAACACCAGCUAGAAAAAAAAGGAAAAGAUACAUAAAUGUAUUAACAGAUAAGGCACUAGUGAAGUAAAAGCUACUGCCAACAUGGAGAGACUCUUCCUUCAAAGCACUUGUGCAGUGGUUAUUUUUGGAACCCUCACUAGAUUAUCCAAUGGAAUAAAGUGACAGAUAGGGGAUGUUCCUGGCAAUAUACCGAGCACUCAGAAAGUUACAGGAGAUGAAAUCCUUUCAGAGAUUUCCAAAUGACAAACUGCAACUGCUCUCACUCUUUCACCAUUUUCACCACCUAAUGAAACCUUGAGUAUACUUUUUCUAGCAGGGGAGUUGAGUGUGAAACAUGAGUUGUGGACAGAGCUUUGAUUUGGAGUUUUUCUCCUCAUGAUUUCUUGCACAAAAUCAUGCAUUGCCUGUGAGGAUGUGGCACAAUGCUUUGUGUCUCCCUUGUAGAGAGAGACUAUUGAGAAAACAAGAACCAUUGUAGAAAAGUAUUGAAGCUUGUUAAAAUUCUUAUUUGAGUUCUUUUAUGAUUAUUCUCUCUCCGUUAUAGCUUUGUUCUUCCUGUUAAUAGAAGGUUAUCUGGUAAAUCAUGUUAUAUAGGUCAUUGCUUCUGGAUUUGAAUCCAAUAAUCCACAUGUAACUUAAAUUUUGGACGCAUUGCAAUGCAUAAUUAUAAUUUCCCUUUCUUUAAUUGAAUGCUACUAUCUGCGUGUUGGUCGUUCACCAUCAUUAUUAUUCAUUAGCAAUAUAUUACAUCCUGUAAUUUUACUUUGAAUUGGAAUCGAAUCAUAAAAUAAGCUAUAUCCAUUGUCGUAUCUUGACAUACUGAUGUCAAUUAGUACAAUGCUUUCUUCUUGCAUUUAGUAACAGGUUCUUUAAUAUUUCUAAGCAGCACUUUUGAGUUGCAAUCGUUUUCGUGUGAACUCCAAAUUUUAAUCAACUGUGGAAGUUCCAUUAGCAGAAAAUCGUACUGUUUUAUUUAAUUUGGAUCUCUCCACAGGAAAGGAAGGUAAACAAGAGGUACACUGAAACAGUACAGAAAAGAUACAUGAAAAUAUUACUAGUAAACAUACAUGUAAUAACAGGUAGUAGUAAAACACAAGCCAACAAGAGCUGCUAUC
rnacentral:lncRNA from 1 species